UCACACCUGUCACUUGCUCAGAGCAGACUGUUUUGUUACCCGCGGAAGGCUUUCCUCCCAUCUUUUUCUCUUUUCUCAUUUUCCCUUCCCCCUUCAGCCCUGUCACUCUCCCAAAGCACAAACCCGAACCCAUAAAAAUUUCUCAAGCUCCCUCGCCUCGUCAGGAUCGUCACCAGUGAACGACCAACCAUCUAUCCGACGUGUAUGGCGGCGCAAUCUCCUCCGUCAUGACCCAGCGGCGCCGACGAGCAUAAAGAAACGUGACCCAUUUCAUAAACAAUCACGGACGAUCUCCUCCGACCAAAGAUGCAUCACAGUCUGUAAAGAAAAUCAUUGAAAUCAAUCCUUACAUGCUUGGCACUAUGGUUGGAGGAGUUGCUGACUGUCAGUUUUGGCACAGAAAUCUGGGCAUUAAGUGCCGAUUGCACGGAUUGGCAAACAUGCGCAGAAUUUCAGUCACAAGGGCAUCAAAGCUGUUGGCAAACAUUCUGUACUCUUACUGUUGAAUGGGUCUGUCUAUUGGGACCAUGAUUGCUGGAUGGGAUGAGAUUGUAAAGACACAUGACUGUAUCAUGUCAUGUUAUUAUGUACUCUUUUAAGCAGACUCUUGUAAUUUGUAUUUUCUAUGGGUUGUAGAUAGUAUUACUUUCCUUUAAAUAUCAGAUAUAAGAGCAAACAAUUAAUGCAUAUAUUACUUAGGAAAAAAAUAUAUAAAAUAAAGGACUGGGAAAAUCCUUUCCUUUUGGACAUGAAUUUUGCUUUAAA